GGCAAACUCGCGCGAAAUGGCCCA
rnacentral:siRNA from 1 species